UUUCCGUAGGUGAACCUGCGGAAGGAUCAUUCAUAAUAAAGUGUUUUAUGGCACUUUUUAAAAAUCCAUAUCCACCUUGUGUGCAAUGUUAGAUCUCGUCAAUCUUGGCGAGAUUUUUAUACAUCAACUCAUUCUUUAACUAAUUUGUCUGAAAAAUAUUAUGAAUACUAAAUACAAAAUACAACUUUCAACAACGGAUCUCUUGGCUCUC
rnacentral:misc_RNA from 1 species